rnacentral:snRNA from 1 species
AUCGCUUCUUGGCUCCCUGAGCUAAAAUCAUGUGUAAUAUCUGUUCAUUGCGAUGUAAUUUUUGUAAUUCAUUAAACUACUUAUAAAGAAAAUUUCUUACGUUUAGUUUUC